GAGGUGUCACACGAACCCACCUUGCAGCCUCUCAAUACAGUAGCUGGGUACCGUGCUAAAGCCCUGCUGAAACUGAAAACAAAUGGCUCUUCCCUCUAAUUCUGUGAAGAUUUAUAUGGAGGAACAACGUGGGCACCAGCAAUAACUACGGAGCAAUACCAUGGUGGGACCAUGCAAUCCAGACUGCACAUACACACUACAUGGAGCACAGAUUUAUUGUACCCCCUUCUAGCACAGACUGCUUGGACAAGCUGCUAAUGCCCAAGGCCAGAGAGAGAGGAACUGCAGCUGGGGAUAACACCACCAGUCGGCUUCUGUACACUCAUUUGAGGUCUACAGUGACUUCCCUGAAUCUCUGCCAGAGCGUCGCAUCCUCUAAGACAACCUGGAGCUGUUUCUCAGUGGGGUCGCCUUUGUCUCUCCCGGCCCGGAGUUCGCUCUCCACGACGCUGAGGAGCCUGGAGACGGUGCAGUCGCUGGGCUUUUUGCAGCCCAGGUCUGCCAUGACGACUUCACUGCCAGAAACUUCAGACUGAAACAAUGCAUGGAAAUUGCGUUCACGCUGAUGCGGACUCUGACUGAAGGAGCUGGUAACAGUCAAGAUAGUUACACAGAGAAGGUAGUCUUAAAAUAUUUCCACCAGGCACGUUGAAUAAAUGCAUUAACCUUGUUCCUCUACCUUCCUAAAUCAAAAUGUAAUAGUAGGAGACCCUUCUGCACUGAGGUUUCAAUGCACCAAGGAGAAGGUAGCAUCUCCGUGCUCCACCAUUGAUGCCUGCUGUGUCCAUCUCUUGGUCCCACUGUCAUUGAUAAAACCCCUGCUGCACCUCACAAGCCGUUGAACUCUUCUCUGGCUGCAUUUUCAGAGACAUGGAAGCAUUUCCCUGUGCUUCUGGGGCUGAGUGUCAGCCUAACUGCUGAGGCCUGGCAUUGCUGACGGGCUCAAGAUCUGUCGCUGACAAGCCUGAUCCAACUGCACGUACUCUUGCAAAGGGCAGCCAUAAAAGAAGGCACCAUUUUACUGAGAAGUCCAACAAUUUCAGCACUCAGCCAGGAAUAGGAGAGACCUGGGUUCAGGUCCAUGCAAAAGGAUUAAGUGGAGACCACGUGAAUAUUGGUGACCCAUAAACAUUGGACCUUGGCACAUAACGAAGCAUUUCUCCUGAUGAAUCUAGCUCAGAUACCAUCCGAGAAGUUUCUGGUCUGUCGGACAUAACAUAGUCAGGGGCUUGAUCAUGAAAACAUACUGUUGGAGUUUGUUUUUAGAGAAAUACAUUUUCUAGUUACUUACUGA